GAUGAAGAACGCAGUGAAAUGCGAUAAGUAAUGUGAAUUGCAGAAUUCAGUGAAUCAUCGAAUCUUUGAACGCACAUUGCGCCCGCCAGUAUUCUGGCGGGCAUGCCUGUUCGAGCGUCAUUACAACCCUCAGGCCCCCGGGCCUGGCGUUGGGGAUCGGCGGAAGCCCCCUGCGGGCACAACGCCGUCCCCCAAAUACAGUGGCGGUCCCGCCGCAGCUUCCAUUGCGUAGUAGCUAACACCUCGCAACUGGAGAGCGGCGCGGCCACGCCGUAAAACACCCAACUUCUGAAUGUUGACCUCGAAUCAGGUAGGCAUACCCGCUGAACUUAAGCAUAUCAAUAAGCGGAGGA
rnacentral:misc_RNA from 1 species